UACGGGGGGGGCAAGCGUUGUUCGGAAUUACUGGGCGUAAAGGGCUCGUAGGUGGCCAACUAAGUCACACGUGAAAUCCCUCGGCUUAACCGGGGAACUGCGUGUGAUACUGGAUGGCUUGAGUUUGGGAGAGGGAUGCGGAAUUCCAGGUGUAGCGGUGAAAUGCGCAGAUAUCAGGAGGAACACCGGUGGCGAAGGCGGGUCUCUGGGCCGAUACUGACGCUGAGGAGCGAAAGCGUGGGGAGCGAACAGG
rnacentral:rRNA from 1 species